rnacentral:lncRNA from 1 species
GAUUAAUUCUCAUCAUAGCUUUAAAAUAUAAUGAUUACCAACAAAAUUUUGUUAAGAUUUAUGCAAUUACUGGCAUUUUUAAUACAUAAAUUAAGCAUAUAUUUUAAUAUUUUCAUUUCUUUUUAUUAUUUAAAUGCAGGAAAAACAUGUACUGCAUUGUAUUGUAGAAAAGGGAGGACAUUACACAGCCUUAGCACUACAACCAUCACUGGUCUGUUGUAUACCUCCAACAGAAUCAUUGCAUAAGAAGUCCUGUCUUCAUCAUAAAAAAUAUCUUCUUUGCUGAGACUGUAAAAAGAUCUUCCAGUGCAGGAAAAUGCAACUCCAGAAGAUCACAUCUUAGCUCUGAAAGGGCCACACAUUCAUAU